UCAGGACACAGCCCAGCCGGCAGCUGCCAGAGUCACUGCCUAAAGGAGGUUUUGACCGAGGAGCAGCAGAGCCCUCUGAGGGCCCCUGUGCUUCUAAAAUGAACUUGAGUUACCUGGAAAUAAGAAGCUCAACAAUUGUAACAUUCUCGGGCUGCCAGCAACUCCAUGUCUGAAGCCCAGCCUGGAUCGAGCCCUGGAGAAGCCUCGAGGGUGGGCCGAGGUGGUGGCCCGUCCAGCCCUCCUGGACAGGCCCAGUGGCUGGGACAGAGGCCUCCGAGGUGCCGGGUGUGCCGGCCCCACGAUGGUGCACCUGCCGCCACCCCGGUGAGAUGGGCAUCACCCAGGGAGGCGCAGAGAAGCCGGCAGCGCAGCCAGGACUGACACGUAAUCCCGACACCUGGGCCAUCGGCAAGAACUGUCAGCCUACUUGACCUCUUUUUGUGACAAAUCAGAUCCUCCCCCAAGAACAGACCAGUGUCUGUCAGCAUCAACCCCCACAGACACCUCUGCUGGUGUGGCAGGUGACAUUGCCACAGUGGGGCCCUGAGUCAGGCGGCAAGUCUCUGUAACAAACAGCUCCAGGAGCAGUCAUGCUAGUGGGGGGCUCAGCCUGUGCAGGCCCUGGGACCUGGGUAAAGUCGAGGUGCAGCAUCAGAGUCCGGGGCCCCUGCACCCCAGGCCAAAGGUUGCCCUCAUCCCACAGAGCCUUCCGUUGCAGCUGGUUCAGGCCCCGGGGCCAGCCGGGCAUCUCGCCCUGAAAACCACAGGCUCCGUGCAGAGGGGAACCCGAGAGAGGCCUGCAGAUGCCACACAUGAUGCUGGUGUCACAUUGAAAUAGUUUCGGCAGGGGGCGGUGGCGCACGCCUGGAAUCCCAGCACUUAUGGAGGCCAAGGCAGGCGGAUCACCUGAGGCCAGGAGUUCAAGACCAGCCUGGCCAACAUGGUGAAACCCCAUCUCUACUAAAAAUAUAAAAAUCAGCUGGGCGUGGUGGUGCACGCCUGUAAUCCCAGCUACUCUGGAGGCUGAGGCAGGAAAAUAGCUUGAGCAUGGGAGGCAGAGGUUGCAGUGAGCUGAGAUCACACCACUGCACUCCAGCCUGGGUGAAGAGUGAGACUCUGUCUCAAAAAAAAUAAAAAGAAAAAAAAGAAAUAGUUUGACCCCAGAGUCAUUCUGGCACAACCUAAAAAGCCGACUCUUUAACAUUUGAGCUUUUAAAAAUACCAAAUAACCUGGGAAAGUGACACGCUGUCCCUGUGGCCAUGGGGCCAUGUGAAGGGUGACGUGUCUUGCGCAGAUGCCCUGUGUGCGGCCCUCACUGAAGCUGCAGGGUCUGCUGCCGCUCACAGCUCUGGACUCCAGACGUCUGCCUCUCGGGACACUUGGGACUCGAUUCCACAGCUCCAGAAAACCCAGGAAACCCGAAGGCGACCUCAACACCGUUCGUUCUCUCAGUAGCAUACGUGAUAAAUGAAGUAAAAACUCCUUUAAAGCGAGGGUUUGGGGAAACAGAACUGUUGUGUCUCAGACGGCGUUAACCAAGUUGCAAUCAUUUUACAAUUGGGAAACUUUCUAAGAAAACUAUCUACACAUCUGCUUACAAAUCAAAGCCAGAGUGUUUUCUACCGUCAGGAAACUGGGAGAGGCUCAGGAAUGAGGGGGAGGCAGUCAAGAAAUCGCUAAUUAAAACCAGCGCUUUCCCACCCUUCUGGCUGGGAGGGGGCCGGGAAAGACGAGGAAGUGGAAGAGGUCAGGAGAAGGCAGUGAGUGAACAGAUUACUGUCCCAGUCUCCACCUUUGUGUUUAUGUUUGUACUUUUCCAUGAUAAAAGCUUUGUUCUGAACAUCGGCCUCCCCCGGGCUGUGCAGAGCUCCACGGCCCCGGCUACCCCAGUGGCUCCAGUGGCCGACAGGGUUGAUUCUACUCACCUGAGCAGGUGUGUCAGGCCUCUGAGCCGAAGCUCAGCCAUUGUAACCCCUGUGACCUGCACAUGUAUGUCCAGAUGGCCUGCAAGAGCCAAGAAGUCUGGGGCAACCCAAAUCUACAAAAGAAUGAAACAGCCAGCUCCUGUCUUAACUGAUUGACCAACCUUACGACAUUCCAUGAUGACCUGUUCCUGCCCUGUCCCACCUGAUCGAUCGACCUCGUGACAUUCUUCUUCCGGACAAUGAGUCUUAUGAUCUCCCCACCAUGUACCUUGUGACCCCCUCCUCUGCUGACAAUAGGUAACCACCUUUCACUGUAACUUUCCACUGUUUACCCCAGUCCUAUAAAACGGCCCCACCCCUACCUCUCUUUGCUGACUCUUUUCGGACUCAGCCCACUUGCACCCAAGUGAAUAAACAGCCUUGUUGCUCACACAAAGCCUGUUGGUGUCUCUUCACAUGGACGCACGUGACACAAAGUGCUGGGGUUACAGGCGUGAGCUGCCACGCCCGGCCCUCUUUGCUCUUUCGUACGAAUUUUAUUUUUUAUUUUUAUUUUUUUUCUUGAGACAGAGUCUUGCUCUGUCGCCCAGGCUGGAGUGCAGUGGCGCGAUCUCGGCUCACUGCAAGCUCCGCCUCCCGGGUUCACGCCAGUCUCCUGCCUCAGUUACCUGAGUAGCUGGGACUACAGGCGCCCGUCACCACACCUGGCUAAUUUUUUGUAUUUUUUUAGUGGAGACGGGGUUUCACCGUGUUAGCCAGGAUGGUCUUGAUCUCCUGACCUCGUGAUCCGCCCGCCUCGGCCUCCCACAGUGCUGGGAUUUACAGGCGGGAGCCACCACACCGGCCUUCGUAUGAAUUUUAGAACCAGUUUUUCCAAUUUCAUGAAAAAUUAUCUUAGGAAUUAUAUUAAUUUCGGGAAAACAGUUAUCUUUGGGUCCCACGUAAACACAGGGAGUGGGAAACAGUCGUGUGGCAUCUGUGGCACAGAACACAGAGACCAGGCCCCGGCGGCUCUGCCAAGCGAGGCUUCGUCCCGGAGACUCGGCGUGUGGCCUCCGGGUCACAGAAACGGCCUUCGUAGCUGUUUGAUGUCACACCAACGAGACUUCAUUCGUGUUAGCAGAACUUUGGGGACGACGUGACCCUGCGUGACAGCCGGGAACACGGGAGCCAGAUGUGGGGACAGCGGCGAGCUGGCACCCCGGAUGGAAAGCCGGACAGAAAGGCGGACAGAGCUGCAGCCACGACCAGGAGUAGCAGCAGGUCCUCGGACGAGAGGCAGCCCCCGUUCCCGGACCAAACUGAGGGUCGGGCCCCAUAACGAGACGCAGCUGAACUGGGGAGGAAGCACGUGUUUAUUUCCCCAACCGGUUACAGGGAGAAGGCCUGGACAUUAUCUCCAGACCAACUCAAAAUUACAGUCCUCCAGAGCUUAUCUACCUUCCACACGCUACGUCUACGUGUAAGUGUGCAUUCAUCUGAAGACUAAGUGACUAACUUCUAAUCUGUAACUGAGGUCUGAGUCCUGAAGACCUUCCUCUGGAGCCUCACUACAUAGUCUGAAGGAUCCACAGGAGCACAAUAAAGGAAGAGCCACCUGGGGCUGAGGAAGAAUCAAGACUCUUGCCACCUGUGAUGUGGAGUGCUCCGUCUCUGAAAGCUUCACUAAGGCGGUGGCAUGUCACAGCUCCAUGAUACAGAGCAGGGCUGCCCCGGAGAAGUGUGCGGAGAGCAGCAGCUCAGGGCAGGGCAGCCGUCACAUUUAUACCCACUUUUAACUACAUGCAAAUUAAGAGGUGGGGCAUUCAGAAUUUCCUAGAAAAGGGGUGGUACUUCUGGGUCAUUGCCAUGGAAAGGGGCAGUAACAUCUGGGUGUUGGCAUGGCAAUGGUAAAGUGUCACAAACUCAUGGGCCUAUAGGAGCCAGCUGGCUGCAGGUGGCUGUUCUGACAGACUGGAACCUGCUUACCUGGCUAACCCUUGUCGCCUGAUAGGUCAUCCAAGGAGAGAACUUGAACCAAAAUUUGGGUAAAGCAAUCUCUGUGGCAGUUUGGUUUUAUAAAACAAGACAAAACGAAACAAAAAAAAUUGUUUUACCCUCUUUCUCUUUAGUUUCAAAUGAGUUUCCAACGUUUACAUUCUAGUUAGACCGUAAAUAACGAGUCUUCGCACCAGCAGCUUAGUAACAGCAGGUUUAAAGCAAGAAAGAAAAGAGAGGACCAGAGAGCACCUUAGAACACUGCUUAACCACAGCACAGGUUCACCACUGGAGGUCUGAAUUUUCCUCGCUGUCAUUUGCCCGUCAGCUUAAAACAUGCACAAUGGGCUGUAAUAUGUAACCAGCUGGAGUCCCUAAGAGGACGACAAAAUCAGGGGCCGGGAUGUUGGAAACUGUUUUUCCCUUUUUGGGCUGGGCCCCUGGAUUGAACAGGAAAAUAGAAAAGAAAGGAAAGCGGAGGAGAAAGGUUUGCAGCAGGGAGGAGAAACAAGAAAGGAAGGAGGGAGGCUGGCGAGCCUCCAGCCACUGCGUGGUGCGGGGCCAGCACCCCCUCACCCUUGAUCAUCUCCCAUCAGGGAAAGCCUCCGCACCCCAGACCUGCGCGGUGUGGGAUGAAUCCCUCCCACCUCCGCAGAUCACCUGUCAAGGUCAGCUGUUCGCAGCCACAGGGAGCUAAGGGUGCUUUUGACCAAGAGGAAUAACGCUUUGGUGGCGGACGGGAGGAGGACGUUGGAGGAAGGAGAGAGAGGUCAGGGUGCACACACUCAUGCGCACAAACCAACAGCUGCGUCCAAAAAACCUCCUUUAAGGGGCUCGGUUUCAAACGGCCCCUCGGGCGACUGAACCCGCACUGAGCAGAGGCCCUAGGGUGCCACAAACACAAACGAAUUCAAAUGUAUCAAAUGCCCAACUGGUGUCACUCACAGCCAAGUCUAAACAGAGGAGGGCCUCAGCCACACCCCAAAGAGGCAGAGGGUCCCUGGGUGAACUCCAACUAAGGCACCCAGUUCCAAAGUUUAUUAACUUCUCCAAAGGUCACUUCCUUUGCACCAGCAAAGCGUUGAAGGCAGCAGGAAGAGAAGGACAGGAUUCCCGGACGAAAGCAUCUCGGCGGCCACGGGGCAGCUCCUCCCAUUCCAGCCACAGGCGCAGCAGCCAGGAGCAGCUGGAACUCACAGAGUCAAAGAAACUUGAACUGUUCACGGCCUUUAAUAAUUGAGCAAGGUACUCUCCUGUGAACAAAAUUUGGAGCAUGUUUGUUUCUCUCCCUGGUUCCUCUAGAAUUUGGAAACUAUUUGUGAGUACUCUUAUGGUGAUACAGUUGGUUGCAUCAGUGCAAUAAGAAUCCAUUUUUCUUGGCCAGGCGUGGUGGCUCAUGCCUGUAAUCCCAGCACUUUGGGAAGCCGAGGCGGGCAGAUCACAAGGUCAGGAGAUUGAGACCAUCCUGGCUAACACGGUGAAACCCCGUCUCUACUAAAAAUACAAAAAAUUAGCCGGGCGUGGUGGCGGGCGCCUGUAGUUCCAGCGACUCGGGAGGCUGAGGCAAGAGAAUGGUGUGAACCCAGGAAGUGGAGGUUGCAGUGAGCCGAGAUCACGCCACUGCACUCCAGCCUGGGUGACAGAGCCAGACUCUGUCUCAAAAAAAAAAAAAAAAAAUCUCGGAUACGCUGAACAAAGACAACUAUCAUUCCCAUGCCCUCGGAGAGGGAUUUAACCGAGACAGGAGAUGGGGAGGCAGGUGCGGGACAAUCUCAUCCUAGAAAGACCGUCAGGGGGAAGCUCUUCUGGGCAGCGGCUCCUCAGGGAAGUUCUGCUGCCGCAUUCUGAUGUUACAGAAAUGCUUCCUCGCCCUUCCUGGGAGGUGGUCUAAUGCCACCCCAAACCUCCAUCACUGACAGCCUCUCAGCAUGGGGGAACUGGGUGUGAGGAAGCUGGGGAGGGCACUGGGGGAGGGUACAGGGGAAGAGGCACAGAGGGAGGACACGGGAAGAGGGUGUGGGGGAAGGACAUGGGGGGAGGGCACAGGGGAA
rnacentral:lncRNA from 10 species